UACAGGGGGUGCAAACGUUGCUCGGAAUCAUUGGGCGUAAAGCGCACGUAGGCGGUCUGUUAUGUCGGAUGUGAAAGCCCUUGGCUCAACUGAGGAAGUGCAUCCGAAACUGGCAGGCUAGAGUACUAAAGAGGAUCGCGGAAUUCCCGGUGUAGAGGUGAAAUUCGUAGAUAUCGGGAGGAACACCGGUGGCGAAGGCGGCGAUUUGGGUAGAUACUGACGCUGAGGUGCGAAAGCGUGGGGAGCAAACAGG
rnacentral:rRNA from 1 species